CCUACGGGGGGCUGCAGUGGGGAAUAUUGGACAAUGGGCGAAAGCCUGAUCCAGCCAUGCCGCGUGUGUGAAGAAGGCCUUCGGGUUGUAAAGCACUUUCAGUGGGGAAGAAAGCCUUGGGGCUAAUACCCUCGAGGAAGGACAUCACCCACAGAAGAAGCACCGGCUAACUCCGUGCCAGCAGCCGCGGUAAUACGGAGGGUGCGAGCGUUAAUCGGAAUUACUGGGCGUAAAGCGCGCGUAGGCGGUCUGAUAAGCCGGUUGUGAAAGCCCCGGGCUCAACCUGGGAACGGCAUCCGGAACUGUCAGGCUAGAGUGCAGGAGAGGAAGGUAGAAUUCCCGGUGUAGCGGUGAAAUGCGUAGAGAUCGGGAGGAAUACCAGUGGCGAAGGCGGCUUUCUGGACUGACACUGACGCUGAGGUGCGAAAGCGUGGGUAGCAAACAGGAUUAGAUACCCUCUGUAGUC
rnacentral:rRNA from 1 species